AUUGAACGCUGGCGGCAUGCUUUACACAUGCAAGUCGAACGGCAGCGCGGGCUUCGGCCUGGCGGCGCGUGGCGAACGGGUGAGUAAUACAUCGGAACGUGCCCAGUCGUGGGGGAUAGCUCGGCGAAAGCCGGAUUAAUCCCGCAUACGACCUGAUGUUGAAAGCCGGGGUUCUUCGGACCUCGCGCUAUUUGAUCGGCCGAUGGCAGAUUAGCUAGUUGGUGGGGUAAAGGCCUACCAAGGCGACGAUCUGUAGCUGGUCUGAGAGGACGACCAGCCACACUGGGACUGAGACACGGCCCAGACUCCUACGGGAGGCAGCAGUGGGGAAUUUUGGACAAUGGGCGAAAGCCUGAUCCAGCAAUGCCGCGUGUGUGAUGAAGGCCUUCGGGUUGUAAAGCACUUUUGGCGGGAACGAAAAGGACUGUGCCAAUACCACGGUUCGAUGACGGUACCCGCAGAAUAAGCACCGGCUAACUACGUG
rnacentral:rRNA from 1 species